rnacentral:rRNA from 1 species
UACGGAGGGUGCAAGCGUUAUCCGGAUUCACUGGGUUUAAAGGGUGCGUAGGCGGACAGGUAAGUCAGUGGUGAAAUCCCCGAGCUCAACUUGGGAACUGCCGUUGAUACUAUCUGUCUUGAAUACCGUGGAGGUGAGCGGAAUAUGUCAUGUAGCGGUGAAAUGCUUAGAUAUGACAUAGAACACCGAUUGCGAAGGCAGCUCACUACGCGGUCAUUGACGCUGAGGCACGAAAGCGUGGGGAGCAAACAGG